ACGAACGCUGGCGGCGUGCUUAACACAUGCCAGUCGAACGGAAAGGCCCUGCUUUUGUGGGGUGCUCGAGUGGCGAACGGGUGAGUAACACGUGAGUAACCUGCCCUUGACUUUGGGAUAACUUCAGGAAACUGGGGCUAAUACCGGAUAGGAGCUCCUGCUGCAUGGUGGGGGUUGGAAAGUUUCGGCGGUUGGGGAUGGACUCGCGGCUUAUCAGCUUGUUGGUGGGGUAGUGGCUUACCAAGGCUUUGACGGGUAGCCGGCCUUAGAGGGUGACCGGCCACAUUGGGACUGAGAUACGGCCCAGACUCCUACGGGAGGCAGCAGUGGGGAAUAUUGCACAAUGGGCGGAAGCCUGAUGCAGCAACGCCGCGUGCGGGAUGACGGCCUUCGGGUUGUAAACCGCUUUCGCCUGUGACGAAGCGUGAGUGACGGUAAUGGGUAAAGAAGCACCGGCUAACUACGUG
rnacentral:rRNA from 1 species